rnacentral:tRNA from 1 species
CGGAGAGGUGGCAGAGCGGUCGAAUGCGCGUCUUUGCUAAAGACGUGUCCGGUCAAAAGCUGGACCGCGGGUUCGAAUCCCGCCCUCUCCGU